CUGAUCUCCCCGUGAAGAAGCGGGGAUAAAAAUAUAAGACGAGAAGACCCCAUGGAGCUUUAAACCCAAUAGACACCUCUGACUAAUCUAACCCAAAACACUUCUUAAGUUCUGUCUAUUGGUUUUAGGUUGGGGUGACCACGGAGUACAAUAAAUCCUCCAUGACGUACGGGACUUCCCUCUUAUCCUUGAACCACAUUUCUAAGAAUCAACAAAUUGACGUUUGAUGAUCCAAUAUAUUGAUCAACGGACCAAGUUACCCUGGGGAUAACAGCGCAAUCCAUUUUUAAGAGCCCCCUAUCGCCAAAUGGGUUUACGACCUCGAUGUUGGAUCAGGGUAUCCCUAGUGGUGCAGCCGCUACUAAUGGUUUGUUUGUUCAA
rnacentral:rRNA from 1 species